rnacentral:rRNA from 1 species
CACGUAGGCGGCAGGGUAAGUCAAAGGUGAAAGCCCUCGGCUCAACCGAGGAAUUGCCUUUGAAACUGCUUUGCUUGAGUCCGGGAGGGGGGAGCGGAAUACCCAAUGGAGCGGUGAAAUGCGUAGAUAUUGGGUAGAACACCGGUGGCGAAGGCGGCUCCCUGGACCGGUACUGACGCUGAGGUGCGAAAGCGUGGGUAGCAAACA